rfam:Caenorhabditis tropicalis strain JT1373 unplaced genomic scaffold Scaffold630, whole genome shotgun sequence.
CUUCUACACGUACUUCGCCUCUCCGCGGCGUAGAAGAGGCAACACUCUGGGCAACCAGAGUGGCUAAGAAGUUUUU